CCGCGGUUCUCGGGCGGUGCCGGCUGCUGAUGCACUUUUUUUGCGUUGGGGGCGCGCGGUGCCGAGCUGCCGGGGGACCCCCGGACGGUUCCGCUUUCCCACAGGCUGGGUGGGGACGGGCUGAAUCCCGGGAGGGCAAACGGGCACCCCCUCGCGGGAGGAUGGACCAUUUUGUGGGAUUUCUCACUCCCCAAGCGCUGUGCUUUGUUUCCCCAGGAAGCAUUUCAGAGAUGAAACCUUGUGACGACGUUAACGAUGCAACUCCGUAGACGUGCGACCUCCUCGUUUUACUUGGGGACACGGGCUUCGCGGCCGGGGGCGGGGGCGGCGUGCAGCACCUCCCAGGGUCGUCUCAUUUCUGCCCUUUCUUGCCGCUGGGUGUGGGGCGCUCCUCCCCAUCCCCUAGAAGUCGGGCACCUCACCACUUCAGAGGGAACGUUGUUCUUGAGGAGGUAAAACAGAGUCUGUGAUACAAGAAGGUAAGGUAGACGCGGCACAAAACGGCGGAGUGUGUUCUCCAAGCUCUCAGAAUCCACGGAGCGGUCAGGUUCUGAAGCGGGGGAAAAAACCAGCAACAACCCAACAACAACAAAUGACACAAAUGCGAUGCUAGAAUUCGCGGUGGCUGGUUCUGUGCCGUGACUCUCAGCCUGGCUUCAGGCUUUCCUCCCGUCUGGCCCCAUGUUCCUCCCCGCGCCUCCAGCCCCCCGACCUGGCCAUCAAAACCUUCCUCUGGAAAAAACCAGAAGUAUCGGUUCCUCCUUCCCAAGCCUAAAUUAGGGGAACUGGAUGUCCAGGAGGAAACUUUCAAGAGUAAAAUGAAGAGUGUGCAUGUUAAAUCCUCAUCUUCUAGAGAUUCUGAAAUACUUAGAAAUGAAAUAUAUUAUGUCUGGAAUUGGUUUCCAAAUAUUGGGGGCCUGGGUGGAAGGGUGGGGAGGUGGGCGGAACAAGAGGAGAUGUGAGUUGAUCGUUCUUGGCGUUGAUGAUGGGUCUAUGGCGGAAGCACUGUUCUACAAUGAAGUUUUAAAACCAAAGAGAAGGUAGGCACGGGGUUCUUGUUCCUCUAGUUUUAAGGGAAGGAUUCUGUGCUCCAGAAGGGUCAGGCAGCCUGCUUCCUGUACCCCAGCCGGCCCAGCUGGAGUCUCUCUGUUCCCCAGGCACCGUGCUACGUAGGGCACUCCCUGGGAGCCCGGUGCUUGGGUGGCUUGGCUGUAGCUCUGCAUGACUCUAGGUCAUUCGUCCAACCUCCUGGUGCCUCAGUUUUCUCCUCUGCAGAAUGGGUAGAGCAAAGGCUUCCUGGUACACAUGGGAAUGUCGGCUCUCCUGGAUUGGCACCACCAGCGAUGGCAAUUCUCAGGCAAUUCUCUGCCUGCCCUGUUACUAGGGCUCCUGCGCUCCCCUGCGAACCAGCCACUUUUCUAAGGAGCCUGACGCCCUGUUAAUGAACAGAGUGUGGGGUUUAGAAACAAAGACCUGGGGUGGGACGUGUUUAGUACUUUUGCGGUGUCAGUUUCAUCUGCCCUCUUAGGAGACAGAGCUGGGGUGCUGCCUGUGUGCCUGCGUGUGUGUUGUGUUAAUCUGCUUGGGCUACUUUAACAAAACACCACAGAUGGGGGGGGGCAUAAACAACAGAAAUUUAUUUUCCCAUACUUCUGGAAGGUGCUGGCGAGUUUGGCUCCUGGUGAGACCUCUCUCCCCAGCUGUCUUCUCCCUGCGUCCUCACGUGGUCGUCUUUUCUCUGUGUGUACACACCCCUGGCAUCUCUCUCUCUCUUUUCUUAGAAGGACACCGGUCCCAUUGGAUUAGGGCACCACCCUUAUGACCUCAAUUAUCUCCAAAUACAGUCCCUUUGGGGUUGGUAAUUCCACAUACUUGAAAGCACACCAGCUUGAGAGGCACUGGCUGUACAGGCUGAAGAGGAUGACGGGGCUCCCUGUGGGACACCUUCAUAAAUACUGAUUCUCUUGGCCAAACAUUCACUUCAUGCAUAAUGGUCCGCAGCAAGGUUAAAUAAAGUGCCAUUCCCUGACAUCGAUUUAAAAUGCAGCUCAUCUGCUCUUUGCUACAUCUACCAAAAGAAUGAAGACCAUUCUCAGCAAUCAGACUGUCGACAUUCCAGAAAAUGUUGAUGUGGCUCUGAAGGGCCCCGGUGGAACCUUCUGGAAAGACUUAACCACAUCAGUGCAGAACUCAGUCUCCUUGGAAAGGAAGAGAAGUGGCUCUGAGUUGACAAAUGGUGGAAAAUAGAAAAGAAUGGCUAUUGUGUGCACUAUGUGUAGUGCACAAAACAUGAUCAAGGGCGUUAUACUGGGCUUCUGUUUACAAGGUGAGGUCGUGUAUGCUCCCUUCCCCAUCAACAUCGUUACCCAGGAUAGUGGUUCUCUUGUUGAAAUACGAAAUUUCUUGGGUGAAAAUACAUCACCAGGGUUUGGAUGAGGCCAGGUGUGUCCUGUUCUGUAUCUCAAGCCCAGAAUGAUGAGUUAAUGUUUGAAAGAAAUGACGUUGAACUUGUAUCAAACUCAGCUGCUUUGAUUCAGCAAGCCACAACCGUUAAAAACAAGGAUAUCAGAAAAUUUGGGGGGUGGUAUCUAUGUUUCUGAGAAAGGAAUGAAUCAGCAGGCUGAUGAAUAAAAACUAAAUUGUCCAGCGGUAGAAACAGCAAGAUGCCGGAUGAUUUUUUCAGACUUAUUUGUGGUAUUUUAAAGAUGCAACAAAAGCUGUAUUGAUUUCGGGGCUUUUUCUUUAAAAAAUGCAGCUAAUCUUUGAAGUGGGAAGUGUAGGAGCAUCUUCUUUACUGUUACCUUCCCUGAAGAUCCUGUUGACUCAUCUUCCAAAUUCAAGGGGUCUCGAUAGCAGCCCACACUCACUACCGCCACAGCCUUUGGGAACAGAAAGGUCAACAUUAUUUUCCUUUGUGUCACAGAUCUGCAUGCUUGUGAGGUUGCUCGCUCUGGUAAAUUCAAAAUGAGGCCGGGCGAGCCUCCCAGACAGGGCCCCAGGAGACAACAGAAUGUUCUGGAACUUUGAGGGGUCUGGAAGUUCUCCGCCAAGAGGAAUGUGUCCGUGAAAGUCCAGCGACAGACCACACAAUCGCCCUCUGUAGUUAGCUUAGUUAUGACUGCCUGGGGUUGAGCAGUGUACGGACGAGGAAGCAGAUACGAGCAGGAGUUUGGAAGGAACAGAAGGCUCACUGAAGAAUUGCCCUGGGAGGGGUCAUGUCCACGACCACAGGAAGCUGCCCCCGUGGCUGCCCAGUGCUCUUGAGGCUGGGGUCUGCCCCUAGGCUUCAAGACCCAGGUGUCCCAGAAGGACCCGCAUUCCUAUGUCUCUGUACUUCUAGAAGCGUCCUGGGGUGGUGUCUUCUGCCCUCUGAGCCUCCUGGGGGUGCUCCUGCUUGGCGGGAAUCGGUCACGUGAGAAGGUGGACUGCCGCUGCGUCUGGUACCCCCAGCUUCAUUGUUCAUUGUUGGGCCGCUGUCACCGCAAGGGGCCUCACGUGACCACGCCCUCAGCAUGUGGCACCAUGACAAUGUUCCCACGCUCUGGACAGAAGACACGAUUUCUGUUUACUAUGCCUUACUAGGUGGCGGGAAUUCUGCAGGGCAAAUCUCAUCUGAGCUGUUGCUCUCUGAUGUGGCUGGGUGCCCGAGCUGGAGGCUGACGGCUGAGGCCCCCGCAGGGUGAGUGGGGAGAUUUUGUUUGAAGUCUGUGCGGCUCAGCCUGUGGGUUUCCCGUCUCCGGACGCUUAGGGCUCUGAGGGCUCUGUGUCAGACAGAUUGUAGGGCCGUGGCUGUGUCUGUGACCGCCUCAGGGCAAGGAGCACUCCCCGACCUCCACGUCCUGUCUCCCUGACUCUUCCAAAGUCCUCUGCUGCUCUGAACACGAGGACUCCACUGGACUUGGCCGUGGACCUGCAGUUCUGGGUUCUGUCCAGAACCAGGGUUCUGUCUGAGUGGCUGAGGCUGGAGAGGGAAGAGGGCCCGGGUGUGGGGGGCAUCAGGCAGGAACAGGAUGUGCCCGGAAGAGGAGGCGACCCUCGGGAGCACUGAGGGGGAGCACUCCGGCUCUCCUGGGUUUGGGGCGAGUCUCAGGCAUGUCCAGGCAUCAUUUUAGGUGUUAUGUGCAGAGGGGGUCUCCACGGUGGACUGAAUGUGCCCCGUGGUUUCGGUAAAGUCUGCUAAUUGUCAGAGAACACGAUUUGCGUGCCAGCUGCUCCUGCCUUCGCCCAUGCGGUGGGAAUCCCCGGGGCCUCUGGUUGGGUUGUUCAGCAGCGGGCGGGUACUGCCUGUAGGAAGUGAAAUAGGGAAGUAAAGAGGUUUGGUUUCUUACAAACAUCAAAGACUUGUCAACAGCAGCAGUGACAACUGUAGAAGCAUCUAGAAGGGGAGCGCCUGCCGCAUGCCAGGUGCUUCGCUCCCCUCACGGUGUUCCCCUCAUGGUGGAAGCAGCUCCUGGCCCUGCCAAGUGGCUGGGAUUCUCUCCUCCCCCUCCUCCCCCUUCACGCCUCCCCCCUACACCCCCUCUCUUCAUCCUGGGUCCACAGGAGCAGUGACAGGAGGGAGAGGCUCCAGCCCGGGGCCCCACCUGUCCCAGAACUCCAGCCGGGAGCUCUACCUGUCCCUACUCUUCUGGGAGUGCUCCCUGCCUGCCUGACCUCUGUAAGACAGAGCUGUCCUUCUAUGGCUUGGGACAAACAACCACCAGGCCAGAGACAGAAGCUGCCUGCUCUGGGCCUCAGCCAGGGGAGGCGGGAUUGGAGGAGGAUUUCUACCUGACUCUGAGCCUCUCUCCCUGCACCGGCUGCUUUGCACGAGGCCCUGGAUGUGGUGGAUGUGGGUGUGGGACUCCAAGGUCUUGCAAACCUCUGCUGUCUUCCCAGCAUGGCCCUUACAGACUGUGUGAGAUGGGCAAGCUUUUAACCUCCCUAGGCCUCAAUAUCUUCAUUUUAAAAUGGGGAUAAUCAUACCCAUCUCAUCAAUGUUCUAAGAGGUACCUAGUCGGUGUGUAAUAAAUGGUGGUUCCUUACUGAGUGCAAA